rnacentral:misc_RNA from 1 species
AAGUCGUAACAAGGUUUCCGUUGGUGAACCAGCGGAAGGAUCAUUACAGAGUUCAUGCCCUUCGGGGUAGACCUCCCACCCUGUUUAAUUACUAUUGUUGCUUUGGCAGGCCGCCUUUUAGGCGUUGGCUCCGGCUGACUGCGCCUGCCAGAGGACCCAAACUCGUUUGUUUAGUGAUGUCUGAGUACUAUAUAAUAGUUAAAAU